GAUGAACGCUAGCGGCAGGCUUAAUACAUGCAAGUCGUGGGGCAGCGCAGGUAGCAAUACUGGGCGGCGACCGGCAAACGGGUGCGGAACACGUACACAACCUUCCGAGAAGUGGGGAAUAGCCCAGAGAAAUUUGGAUUAAUACCCCGUAACAUAACGAUGUGGCAUCACAUUGUUAUUAUAGCUUCGGCGCUUCUUGAUGGGUGUGCGGCUGAUUAGAUAGCUGGCGGGGUAACGGCCCACCAAGUCUACGAUCAGUAGCUGAUGUGAGAGCAUGAUCAGCCACACGGGCACUGAGGACACGGGCCCGACUCCUACGGGGAGGCAGCAGUAAGGAAUAUUGGUCAAUGGACGCAAGUCUGAACCAGCCAUGCCGCGUGAAGGAUUAAGGUCCUCUGGAUUGUAAACUUCUUUUAUCUGGGACGAAAAAAGGCGAUUCUUCGUCACUUGACGGUACCAGAUGAAUAAGCA
rnacentral:rRNA from 1 species